rnacentral:rRNA from 1 species
GACGAACGCUGGCGGCGUGCUUAACGCAUGCAAGUCGAACGGUAAGGCCCUUCGGGGUACACGAGUGGCGAACGGGUGAGUAACACGUGGGUGAUCUGCCCUGCACUUCGGGAUAAGCCUGGGAAACUGGGUCUAAUACCGGAUAGGACCCUGGGAUGCAUGUCCUGGGGUGGAAAGCUUUUGCGGUGUGGGAUGGGCACGCGGCCUAUCAGCUUGUUGGGGGGGUGAUGGCCUACCAAGGCGACGACGGGUAGCCGGCCUGAGAGGGUGACCGGCAAGCCAGGGACUGAGAUACGGCCAAGACUCCAACGGGAGCCAGCAGCGGGGAAUAAUGCACAAUGGCAGCAAGCCUGAUGCAACGACGCCGCGUGAGGGAUGACGGCCUUCGGGUUGUAAACCUCUUUCAGCACCGACGAAGCGCAAGUGACGGUAGGUGCAGAAGAAGGACCGGCCAACUACGUGCCAGCCGCCGCGGUAA